rnacentral:rRNA from 1 species
CGCACGGGUGCGUAACACGUAAGCAAUCUGGCUGCAGGAGGGGGAUAACUCCGCGAAAGCGGGGCUAAUACCGCAUACAAUGCCCGGGCCGCAUGGCCGGGGCAUCAAAGGAGCAAUCCGCCUGCAGAUGAGCUUGCGGUGCAUUAGCUAGUUGGGGAGGUAACGGCUCCCCAAGGCGAUGAUGCAUAGGGGUUCUGAGAGGAAGAUCCCCCACACUGGCACUGAGACACGGGCCAGACUCCUACGGGAGGCAGCAGUGAGGAAUAUUGCGCAAUGGAGGCAACUCUGACGCAGCCACGCCGCGUGCCGGAUGACGGUCCUAUGGAUUGUAAACGGCUUUUUACAGGGAAGAACCACCUUGAUUCGUCAGGGUCUGACGGUACCUGUGGAAUAAGCACCGGCUAACUCCGUGCCAGCAGCCGCGGUAAUACGGAGGGUGCAAGCGUUGUCCGGAAUUAUUGGGUGUAAAGGGUGCGUAGGCGGAGCUUUAAGUCCGGGGUGAAAUCUUGCCGCUCAACGGUAAAAUGGCCUUGGAUACUGGAGUUCUUGAGUGUGACAGAGGCCGGCGGAAUUCGUAGUGUAGCGGUGAAAUGCACAGAUAUUACGAAGAACACCAGUGGCGUAGGCGGCCGGCUGGGUCACAACUGACGCUGAGGCACGAGAGCGUGGGGAGCGAACAGGAUUAGAUACCCUGGUAGUCCACGCCGUAAACGAUGUAUGCUAGGUGUCGGGGCCGCUACGGCGGGCUCGGUGCUGCAGCUAACGCACUAAGCAUACCACCUGGGGAGUACGUUGGCAACAAUGAAACUCAAAGGAAUUGACGGGGGCCCGCACAAGCGGUGGAGCAUGUGGCUUAAUUCGAUGCAACGCGAAGAACCUUACC